CAUUUUAGCCAAAUUACACAGACAAAUAAUUCAAAACGUUGACGUUUUGACAGGCAAUAAAACAACAAAGAAUGAGUAAAAUACAAAUAAAAACCAACAACGUUAGUCAAUCGUAAUGCAAUGCGAAAUUGAAUUCCGAAAAUGUAAGAAAUAACUAAUACCAUUUGAUCAGAUAGUAUCUAAAAGGCUAAAAAGGGAAGAAGAAAAGCAUUUCUUAUACUAAAGUUUGGAGUUUCGAUCUUAUUAGGUUGAAGAAAGAUCUUAUUUCUCCAGCUGAUAGCUUCCUCUGCUGACUUUGCACAUGUGAGCAGCAAAAAGGAAAGGGCAACAUUGGUUUGCCAUCGCAUUUGAAUGAUUAAAGGAGUUAGUCUAAUAAUGGAAAAGCACAUAGCGGAAGUGUGGGUGAUGCCAUUCAUUUAUCCAUCCAUCCAUCCAUCCAUCCUACGAGAAUUUGAAAUACGAGUUUAGUGUAUACGUUUGAUGAUGAUAACUCAAAUGUGAAAUGAAUCAAGCGCAGACCGUGUCACCAUCAUGCGGUGGCCGCAAAGAUCUCUGUGGUCGGGUCGUAGGCGUUGCAAACGAAGCGUAAAAAUUGCCGGCAGAUGCAAAUUCUGCUGGUAGGGGAGGUUGAUGCAGCUCAUGCUGCUGAUGUUGCUGCUGCUAUCUGACCACAACGUCAAGUUACCGCAGUGGAAGAGGUGAAUGGAGAAAUGAGAGCAUGCCUGGAGGCAGAAGAUUGGCAAAGGGUUCGGUGUGUGAAGGCAUGAACGAAUGCUUAGAAUGGGAGGCGGUUGCAUAACAAAUUGCAUGCCACAAAUCGAUGGCGAAUGGGGAGCCCAAACUCUUAAUGAUGCGCAGGUGCAAAUCGUGCCACUCACACUCGCACACAGCCACACAAACACACACACACACCGAUACAUAUACACAUGUGCCCCAGACAGGACAAAGAUAAAUCGUUAAUAAAUUAUUUAUAAUUAA